rnacentral:lncRNA from 1 species
GGUAGUAGGACAACUCCUAAAGCGUGGGAUGUCUGCUCUCUCGAAUAUACUCUAAAUGUCACCUGAAUCAGCUAUUCAUAUGGUGCACUCAUAGCUGGAUCUGCAUUGAAAGAGCAUAGUAGGGAUGAGUACAGUCAAAUUGUACUCAGUAGGUAUCAUAGGCCAACUAAGUAAAGUAGAAAAUAAAGCAUUCAAAUACAAACUAUGGGCACGCCACCUAUAAUUAGAAAAUAUCCCAUACAAUAUCCCACAUUAUCUCUACUAAAAAUUCUACUAUAUACGCAGAUAACAAAUACUAAUACAAGAAGAAAAUAUAGAUAUACACAUAUACAACAUACAAGUAGGGGAAAGGAAUACAAAUAAACAAAUAUCGCAUUAAUAAUAGAAAUAUAACAAAGAAUAAGCACAAUAUAUAAGGAAUGCAAUGAAGAAAAUGAUGACGAUAAUAAUGAUGAUGAUGACUCAUGAGGUUAUCGCACAACCUCCAUAUACACCUACCGAGUUGUGCUCCUAAGGUAGGAUCCGUGGGGUAUCAGUCAACCCAUAUACAACCAAUAUCCAAUACCAAUGUCCAUUACUUUUCUCUAGCAAAUACAUCGAUAGAGGGCUUUGAAAAAUACCAUAUUUUGUAUCAGAAAAAGCAAGUGUUUUCAGUAUUUCCACAGUGGUACCAAUUAUUCAUGAAUAAGUAUGAUAUAAGGAUGUAAUGCUUACAAUAAACAAAAAUGAGAAUAUAAAAUAUCAAACCAAUAUACCAGCCAUGUGAAUAAAAAAUCCACUCAAAUCAACCAACCAUCUAUGAUCUAAUAUAAUCCAACAAUCAAGUGAAACAUGCAAGAAAGUGUCAGUGAUACCACAUACAUCCCAAAAUCUAGGCUUUUUAUCCCACCAAAAAUAUUGAAAUCAAGCAUGAAUAUAUCAAUACCAGGCCAACAACAUCUUACAAGACCCCACAUGGUCACACAUGGAAAGUAAUGUCAAAACGGCCAAAUAUUAUCUACAUAGGCCCUCACACGGGUACAUAAAUCACUUUGAACACAUUUUUCAUAAUUCAAUCCCAUACCCAUAGCAUGAAUUUACAUUAAUAUUCACUACCCAACCCAUCCUAAGGAAAGUUAAUCCAUAACCUACCUCAAAUGUUAAAAAUAGAACAAAUAAGCCUUUAUAAGCGGCUUUCACCUCCCACACGGACCCAAAAUAAGAUAAAAUACACAAAUAUAGAAUUCACGUAUCAAAAGAAAGAAAAUGAUACCCAUAUUUCCCAUUUCUGAAUUAGAGUCAAUACAGACCUCCGAAUUGGGUUUCCACUUCCAAAUCAGAGUCAAAAUACACUCCCAAAAUGGGUUUUCAAAGAAAAUGGAAAUUUGUCCAAAAACUUAUUUCUUAGGAUUAAAGGAACUCAAAGAAGAAAAUCUAAGUAAAAACAGGUUGAAAUUAGGGUUGAAUCGAAGAAAUGCUGUUUUAGGCCAUUCGAGCCAAAACCCCGAAUUUCAACUUUUGAGUCUGAGUAUAAAAAGAUUUAAAGGAUAAAAUUGAAGAAAAUUAGUUGAAAUAGGAGUUUAGAUCUUACCCAAGCUUGAUAAUGGAGAAAAUCACGAAAAAUCCUAAAACUCAAAGCUUCAAGUCUCUAGAAUGGUGAAGAAAAUGAGAAAAAACUUUAUAUACCCAGGUGCGAGGUUCCGCUAAAGCAGUCAAAUGGCUACUUUAGUGGUUACUGCUAAAGCGGUCAAGUACUGCUUUAGCGAUACUAGCAAAAUUCAUGUCAUUCUGCUAAAGCAAACAAAGGUCGCUUUAGCAGUUGUCUCUAAAGCGGACAGGGCACCGCUAAGGCACUUUUGUCCCACUAGAUCAGGACACGAAAGCAGCCAAAAUUGCACUUUAGUGGCUGAACGAGCUAAGUAGUGCACCAGCUGUUGAGACUUGAAAAAUUGUGGACACCUUGAGAUUUAUCCAGAAUCCCAAGAACAUAAAUGAACUAUGCUACCUUAUCAAAUUCAAUACUCCAAACUCAAUGGAGAUAUUAGAAUUUCUUAAAAACAUUAUUUUCAUAGAAUUUACCCCCCAAACCUACUUUCACAAGUUUUCAAAUGGAGGGUCAAAAUGAGAUACAAAAGUAGUAAAACCACACCAACUAUGCUACCAACCUAAAAUCAACGUCUGGGUCUGAUGGUACAAUUUGUUUUUCCAUCCAAUGCACAGUUCAAAAAAUAUUGACCAAAGUUAACUAAUAAGCCUUUUAGACAAUCACAAGUCAUAAUCUCGCGCAAUUCACAUCGAAAUGCAUUGAGAACCAUGCUUAUCAAUCCCACACCCCAGAAACACCACAGUACAACCAUGGGAAGGGUAAAAAAGUCAAGUUUUAAAAAAUAAAUAUUUCACACAAAUUACCAAAAUUUAGUUCAUUACACAAAGAGGGUCAGCUACCAAUUUGGAUUGCCAGAUACUAGUUGGAAUCAAGUUAUAGCACUAAAAAUGAAUGAAAUUCUAAUUUUCUAAAAUCCUAUAAUAUUUUAAACAAAUUAUGAAUGCCUCCCUACUAUUCAUCAAGACUCUACUAGACCCAUUUUGGUACAACGAGAUCAAUAAACGUAGGGAUUUGUACUAACUUUUCCAUGAACCAAACCCAUCAUGAGUGGCAUACAUACUAACCCUCAGCGGGAGAAUCAUCUAACCCCAAACCACGAACCUAAAACUUAGCCAAAACAAGGCAACAAAUUAUUUUUUCAUUAGAUAAAAUAAUGUCUCCAAUAUUCAAAAUGAAAUACCAAAUGUGGAAUCAAAUGAAUACUUAAACAAUCCUCUAGAAUCUGAAAGUCAUUGUAUCAAAACACUAUAAUUGUUAGGUUCAACCCAUAAACAAAAUAAACUAUCCAAGUUUGAAAAAAUGGACCAGGAACAAAAUGAAGAACUUAUGGCAGCUCAAAAUUUCUAUCUCACUCUUGAGUUCGAAUGCUAUCUGCUCUACAACUGAGGUUUUGAAAUAGCUACUAAAACAUGCUCAUACUCAAAAAAAUGAAGAAGUUGUAGUAUCAGUACACAAGAAACAAUGGUUCACUGGUAGGGUUAUUGGCCAACCAAAAAUAAGAUAUGUGAACAAGUAACCAUAAUUAGUAAAGAAAGAAAAAUCAUGAACACCUACUAUGUAACUUUAUGUAAUGACUUAAUUUUUGUAAAUUAUUUAUUUUAUGUGAUUUGACUAUUUUGCCCAUUCUUGUGGUUUCUUACUGGUAUUUUUGGAGAAUGGGGACGAUUGGCACAAUUUCUAAUAUAUUUUAGUGUAUUUUAUAUGAGUUUGUAGUUUUUUGGAGGUUAAAAAGGCUUUAUAGUUGACUUCAAUCAACAUUUAUUUUCCUAUGCAUCAGAUGGAAAACCAGACUAUGCCAGCAUAUCUGGAAUGUUGAGUUUAGGAUGGUAACAUAGUAGGUGUAGUUUUACGGCUUUAAUAUCCCAUUUUGGCCCCCAGUUUAAAAAUUUAUAAAAUUGGUUCUUGAAGGUCAAAUUUUUUAAAACAAUAUUUUUAUAAAAAAAUAUUGAUUUCAUCAUUGAGUCCAUAGCAUCGAAUUUGAUAGAGUAGCAUAAAUCUUUUGCAUUCACGAGAUUCUGGAGGAAUCCCAAAUUAUCCAUGAAAACUUGAAAUUUUUCCAAGUUCAGCUGGUGCACCACUUAGUUGGUGCAGUUACUAAAGUGCUAUUUUGGUGGCUUGAGAAGUAGGCGCUAAAGUGCCACUUGGCUAUUUUAGCGGUCGACCCCAAUUGUACAACGACGCUUUAGCGGUGCCUUGUCUGCUUUAGUGGUAGGCGCUAAAGCAACUCUUAUCCACUUUAGCAUACUAGCACGAAUUGGCAGGUACCACUAAAGCAGUACUUGACUACUUUAACAGUGACUACUAAAGCAGUCAUUUGACUACUUUAGCAACACAUGGUACUCAUAUAUAUAAUCUUUUUUCUCAAUUUUUCCACCAUUUCUAAGACUUGUAGCUUCGGGUUUUAGCACUUUUCGAUGAUUUCUUCCAUUUUCAAGCUUAGGUAAGCUCUAAAUCCCCAUUUCAAUUAUUUUUCUUCCAUUUUUGUCAUUUAAAUCUUGUUAAAAGUAGAAUUUGGGAAUUUUGGCUUGAUAGACCUAAAUUACUAAUUCUUUAAUUUUAAUCCCAACUUCAACACGCAUUUAAUUAGGUUUUCUUCCAUGUCCUCCUUUAAUCAAAGGUAAUAUAUUUUUGGACUAAAAUUCUGGUUUUACCCUUAUUUUUUGAAAAUCCAUUUUGGGGGUUUGUUUUGUCCCCAAUCUGAAAAUGGAUAAUAUGAGCAUUGUUGGCUUUUUUUGAUGUGUAGAUACUACAUUUGUAAGUUUUAGUUGAUUUUGAGUUCGUUCAUGAAGGAAAGGCUCCAUGUUAAAGGCUUUUUAACUAGGUUUUCUUCAUCAAGGUAGGUUAUGACUUAACUUUCUUCAAACUUUAUUUUGAGUCUGUUUGUGAAGGAAAGGCUCCGUGUUGAAGGCUUUUGAACUGGAUUUUCUUCAUCAAGGUAGGUUAUGGCUUAACUUUCUUCAAACUAGGAUGGAUAGUUGAUAUUGAUAUAAGAUCAUAUUAUGGGUAUGGGAACUAAUCAUAGAAAUGGCUUUAUUAUUGUGUUGUGUAUGUGUGGGGGCUUAUGUUGUUGUUAUUUGGUAGUUUUAUGACAUUACUUGCUAUAUUUGAUCGUGUGGGAUCUUAUAUGAUGUUAUUAGCCUGGUAUUAUAUAAUUGGUUAUUUUAUUCUUAGUGAAAAAAAUGUCUAAGUUAUUAUUUAUGUGGUAUCAAAUGGCACAUUAUUGUCUUUCUUACUUUAUUGGCAUAGGGAUUAUAUGGGAUCAAGGAUGGUUGUCUUAUUGAGUGGAAUUUUUAGCUCACAUGGUGAGUAUAUUAGUUGAAUUUGAAAAUUCACAUUUAGAUUAGCUGUGAGCAUUACAUCCCCAUAUCAUAUAUAUUUAUGAAACAUUGGUGCCAUUAUAGAAAUACUAAUUUUUCUGAUAGAAAAUAUGACAUCCAUAAAAACCUUUGUCGAUGUAUGUACCGAAGAAGAGUUAUGGAUAUUGGAUAUUGGAUUUCAUAGAGGUUGAUGAACCCUCAUGGGUCCUACCUCAAGAGUAUAACUUGAUAGGUGUAUAUGGAGGUUGUACAACAACCUCGUGUAUCAUAUCAUCAUCAUUAUCAUCUUCAUUGCAUUUUAUAUACUGUGUAUAUUCUGUGUUUUAUAUACUAUGUAUAUUCUGUGUUUUAUAUUUGUUCUUGAUUUGAUAUUCAGUCCGGUAUAUAUGGGUAUUAUAGAACUAUUAGUAGAGAUAGUAUAGGCUACCAUUUGGGACAUUUUCUGAUUUUCUGAUUAGUUUCUACUUUCUCAAUUAGCCUAUGAUACCUAUUAAGUAUAAGUGGACCGUACUCACCCCUAUUAUGCCCUUUUAGUGCAGAUCCAUGUACGAGUGCACAGCUCGAUAGCUGAUUCAGGUACUUUUUAGAGUAUAUUUGAGGUAGCAUUUAAUCUAUGCUUCUAACUACUACCUUCUCUUGUUUAGUCUACAUUAUGUUUUUGUAUUCAAAGGCAGAUUAUGUUUCAUUUGGACUAUCAAUUGUAUAUUUUGACUUUGUGAUGUAUUUAGUUGGUUCUUACAGUGUGACAUUGGAUUUUGGGAUAUCUGUGGUAUCUUUGUUAUUAUUUUUCUCCUAUUAUUAUAUAUGUAUUGUUUGAUUUUAUUCUAGAAGCCUUACCUUAGGAGUUGGUGUUGUUUCCUAUUUUUAUAUUCGUUUGGAUGAUAGGAUUACUUCUCAAAGUUUGUAGCGACAAGUGCUAUCAUGACCCUUAGGUUUUGGGUUCCGACAAAGUGGUAUUAGAGUAGCCAGGUUUAUUGGUCUUAUUAGAGUAAGAACGUGGAUCUAGUAGAGUCUCACGGAUUGGUACAUAGACAUUUGUAUCUAUCUUUUAGAGGAUAUAAGAUAUCUUUAUGAAACUAUUCUUAUUUUGUUCUUAUCAUGUAGAUCUUUCAUACCUUGUGUUCUAAAUCAUAUUUCACUCUUUCUGCAUAGAUAGUGAGGACUAGAACUAGUGAGGUUAGAGAUGUUGAUCCAUUAUCCAACGUAAGAGAUCAGCCUAGAGGGCGAGUUGUGAGUCGUGGAUGCACCUGAGGUAGUGGAUGAGCAAGGGCAUCUGCCCCAUCCAGAGGUAGUACUAGGGUGCUCCCCCCUGAGCCUCAGUUUGAGCAUGCUAAAGAUAUGAGGCCUACUUGGGUCCCACAGAUUUCUUCUACCCCAAUCUUGGAGGGGUUACUAAUUCGCUUGUUGACUUAUUUAGAGGGUGUUUUUUAGUGCACCUGUUGUUUCUCUAACUCUGAGUAUUGUACCUUUAUUGGUGCCAGAGUCUGCCUAUGUUGUUCUUGGAUUUCGAGUAUGGAUCCUUUAGUGGUACCGAUAUUUGUUUAUGGUACUCCAUAGACUCUGAGUGUUGUUCUUCCUUCUUUGUCAGCAUCUGAGUAUGGUAUUUUGAGAUCAGGAGUUAUAACCUUUAUCUCUAUUAUCCCCUCAGGUGGGAUCCCAACUAAAUAGAUUUUCUAUGCCUCAUAUUAUUGCAAGUAUAGUUAUAUUUUCCAAGGAUUAGAAGAGGUUUAAGAUAUUCACUAAUUGGGUCCACCUAGGUUCAGUGGUGUUGUGGGUGAGGAUGCCUAUAAGUUCUUGAUUGAUUAUAGCAACAAGUUGCAUAAUUUUAGAUUGCUUAAGUUGCAUGGUGUUGCUUACACUACUUACCAGUUAAGAUAUGCAACCGGGGAUUGGUGGAAGAAACUUUUUGGUUGUAGAACCUUUGGUUUGCCAAAGAUGACUUGGGAUCAGUUUGUUGAGGCCUAGUUUGUUAGGUUUGUGCCUUAUAGUUUGGGUGAUAAAAUGAUAGAUGAGUUCGAUCACAUGGAGAAGGGCUCCAUGACUAUUGCAGAGUAUGAGGCAUGUUUUUAUGUCUUAUCAAGAUAUUCUUAUGCUAGUAUUGCCACCAAGUCAGAGAAGAUUCAGAAGUUUGUUAAGUGAUUUGGUAUAUGCCUUAUCUAGAUAUGUUUUUUGUAACUUAUCUAUCAAUUUCUUUAAAACAUAAUCUGAAACUUGUAUUUGAUUUUCUUCAUCCAUUGCUUUCAUGUCAUCAUUACUAUUUUCUUCAAGGACUUCAUCUGUUUUGAUUUUGUCUUGAUGUGAUAAAUUUGGCAAUCCAACAUUCCUUCUUUCAGUAUUGAUCAGAUCUCUUAACAAUAUUGAUAUUUUCAAACUAUCUUUUGCUAACGAAUAUCUAUGGUCUCCAAUGAUUAAUCUCCCCAUAUUUAAUGCUUGCACUGAAGCAACUAAAGAUGCUUGAUUAGCUAGCACAUCCCCAAACACCCUUGAAAGAUACGGAAACUGUUUUGUCUAGUUCUUCCACUAAGUUAAAAGUUGAGGAUCUCCCUUUUCAUCUCUAACAUUUUUCUGUUCCUGGUUAAUAUAUUGAUCAAAAUCAUUAUUGUUAGUAGAAUUAAGACCAAGUUCUCCAUCCAUACUUUCAUCAAAAUUAUUAAAUUUAGCCUUACGACAUGGAGGUUUAGACAGAUCAUCAUUUAGUAACUUGGCUCUAUCAAGAUCAUACAAAUGUCUAACUUUAAUUAAUACACUAUCCUUAUAUGAUUCAACAGAUGGAACUUCAUCAUUGCUACUUUCUAAUUUUUUAUAAAUCUUUUCAACCAUUUUUUCAUACCUUGUUCUUUAUAAGUUGGGUUGAACAAAGUAGAAGUCAAAGUUAUUUGAGGAAUUAGACAAAAUAUUUUCUAAAUUUUUCAAUGUAAGAAAAACUUUAAAAUCUUCACGAUCUUUACACUUAACAAAUUCAGAUGAAAUAACAUAAAAAUUUACUAAAACCAAAGAAAUAGUAGGAUAAUGUUGACCAGAUACAAUAUUUGUAGCACUAUAAAAGUUUUUCAAAAAAUUAAUAAGUUCUUCGCAUUAUUUCCCAUCCUCGUCGGUGAUUAUGAUUCUCUGAUACAAAUUAUAUUUAUUAUAAAGAAUUUUUAAAGGCUCACGAUAAUCAAUAGCAACAACAAGCAUUUCAAAUAAAGAAUACCAUCUAGUAGUCACUUCUUUUGGAAUUUUCUAAAAAGCGUUUCGAAUAAAGUAUAAAUUUUUUCAUAUUCUCUAAUUGUAACCCGUAUAUUAUCUUAAAAAAUCCAUCCACAAGCACUUUAAAUUCUAACAGAAGGAUCACCAAAUACAUUUAUACCAUAUUACACUAUUUAAUUAUAAACAUGUGCAUUGCACUUAACAUGAAAAGCAUCAUCAUCAAUUGGACAAAGUCUAGGUUUUAAAAAAAUCAAUAGCUUUCAAAUUAGCAAAAACAUUAUCUAAGUGACACCCGUUAUCAUAUCACAAAAUCCAAAAUAUUUUAAAAUAUCCUAUGUUAUUUUUUAUAACGCUCAACUUACACCUCAAAUUAGUGUAAGGCGGUCGUUGUUAAUAUAUUUACCCAACUUUGGAGUUGGGGUCGAAUCCACAGGGAGCAAUGUGAGUGGCGAUCAAACUAAUUUAAAAUUAUAGCUACAAGUUAAAUUCAAACAAAUGAUACAAAAAUAUAAAAUGGGGUUUUAGUAUUAAUGUUUGUAAUCAAUAUAAAUGGAAAACCAGAGUUAUGUUCACUGUGGGUUUCGGGAAUUGACAAAUACUAGAUACUGCUUAAGACUCUUGAAGUAAGUAGGAACAGCAGAAUAUCCCUAACGACUAUACUAUCUUACUUAUAUCUCGACCUCACCAGACAAUUUAUUAUCUAAUUCUCUCAAACUUAGAUAACUUAUCUAUUUCCAAUAGGAUGUUAUCUCAGGUAGAUUAAUCCAGUUACGGUAUUAAUCAUUAAAUAGAAGGUUGGUAGCUUCCGAGUCCCUGUUGAUAAUUCACUUCCUCUAGUCUAUUUCUCUUUUCAAGCAAAUAAAGCUAAGGCAUAACCUAUUGUUUGCAACUAAUAGAUUUUAAGUUAAAACAACAGAAUUUCAAGACGUCCUACUACUCUUUAAACCCUUUAAGUACCUUACGAAUGGAUGACAACACCAAUUGUUUCUUCAAUUGAAUCACAAGAGAAUAAUCCACAAUAGUUGAUAAGUGUUAAGGGAAAACAAGAAAAAUACUUGACGAAAAAGAUGAGGCAAUGUACGUUCCUCCCCAGUUUCAAAAAAACAAGAUUGAGAGAUUAAAGAAGAUUGUCCAUAAAACCCUAAAAGAUGCUAUUUAUACUUAACCCUAAUUAUGGAAAUAAAAUACCAAAAAUCAUAAAAUUCUUCGGAUUAGGUGACGCCGUCGUUGACGCCACGUCAAGGUUCUGACUCCUUAUCACAGAUGGCAUCAGAAUUGCUCCAGUUUCCUUCAAAAUCUAUCUUAGGCUGACGAUGUAGCUGAUGUCGUAUCACCGAUCUGACGGCGUAUCACCAACGUCAUCAGAUUUCUUCUUCAAGCUCAAUUCUCUGGUUUAGGCUGAUGCCUAUAGUGACGCCUUAUUAGCUCUUUGACGCCAUGCCACUAAUGUCGUCAGAACUUUCUCUCAAACUUCAACUCUCUAGUUAGGGCUAACGCCAAUGCUGAUAGCCUAUCACAAGGCUGACGACUUAUCACGGUCAUCGUCAGCCAUGUUUUCAGCUCUUUUUGCUCAGAUUUCAGAUCUUUUGCUCCAUUGUUAUUUAUUUCCAUGCAUCUUGACUUUCCUACAAAAUCUUAAGAAAUAACAUCAAAAACACCAAUAAUUACUUAAGAACUUACAAUUAUUUCAAGUUAAAAAGUCUUAAAUAUGCUACAAAACUCUAGCACAUCAACACCCUCAACUUAAAACAAUUGCUUGUCCUCAAGCAACUACAUAACACCAUACUACGAUGCUUAACCAAGAGUCACAUAAGAUACCCAUCACUGUUGAUUAUCAAGUUUAGCUCAAAAUUUAUGCCACUCUCUGCGUUCAAUUACUUAUAAAUCCAAUUGUGCAUAUCAAUGAAGAUUAACAAUGUGACCCAAAGGAAUCAAGAUAUGACAUCAAUUCAGCAACAAUAACCAUGCAUAUGUACAAGUUACACUACCCAAACAAAUAAAUAACUAGCAAUGUAACCGAUGUACCUUUACAACAAAGAAGUCCCUCCUCACUCAUAUAUGAACUCAAGCAUGUCAAUGUGGGGACGGCCAAGAGAUACUUACUCUCAGAAAGAAAUUCCAAACAAUGCAUGUCAAAUACCAUAUGAUUUCCCAUAUUUUCAUUACCAAGGUAUCCAGACAAGUAAGUUAGAUCACUAUAGGUCUUUUCUUCAGCGUGUAAUGUAGGCUAAGGGCUGGUAUGAUAUUCAAUGGAAUUUAGAGUGACUAAGCCUCCUUGGCACUACCUUAACUUUUGGGGUUCACUUAUUAACCUUUUUCUUUUUUUUCUCCAUUUCUUGAUCAACCAUUAUUCAGGAUGGAUGUGGCUUUUCUUUUUCAUUCUUUUUCUUUUCUUAUUCUUCCUCCACACCACUCAGCUUUUUAUUCUUUUUCAGUUAUUCUUUUCCUUUUAUUAUACCUUUCUUCAUACUCAGUUUACAUCACGCACCCCUAUGAUGGCCACUCUCAACUUAGGUUGUUUUUCUAAGUCAAGGUGCAUAGUGUCCAAGGAGAACCAGGGCCAAAACAGGCUCAUUAUGAUCUAAACGGGAAGGUGAUAGGUGUCAUAGAAAGAAAUGGUCAAUUCAGGCUCAAAAUAGGGAUCAAGAGAUAUCAUACAUACAGGGAAGGUCAUUUAGGCCAAAAAAAAAAGUGACUUAAAAAUCAAAACGGCCUAUGAUCCUUUCCUGACCCCUAUCUUUCAACCAAUGUAAGACUAAUCGGGAUUUUUAAAGAUUCAACACACAAUGAGAUAUUUUAGGAACAGUUUCCUUCUUUCUGUAUUCAUGUCGUGCUAGUGAGCAUAAGAUCAAAUUUAACUCUCAGUCUAAUCUGCUCUUCCUUUCAUUUAUAGAACAUGCCUCCCAAAGGGACUGACGAAAGGAGAACAGGAAAUCAGUCAGCACCUCAGCCCAUCUGGGCAGAUCCUCUAGAUGAGCAUGUCUCUCAUGCAGAAUUAAGAAUUGUAUUCACUACUCUAGCCAAUUCAUUCAUAGCUCUGAAUGAACGGCUAGCUGCUAUUCUGGAUAACCUAGUGGCCAAUUCUGCUGCAGCCAGGAUUCGGGACUUCACCCGAAUGAAUCUUCCUCUAUUCUCAGGUUCUAAGUCCAGAGAGGAUCCACAUGAGUUCCUCGAUCAAGUUCAUAAAGUCACAGAUAUCAUGGGAGUGACUUCUAGUAAGAGUGCAGAGUUAGCCGCCUAUCAGCUACAUGGUGUAGCCCGUACAUGGUUUAAACAGUAGAAGGUAGGCAAGAGUAUAGAUACAGAGCCUAUAGAAUGGGAAAAGUUUGCUACGGCCUUCAUAGAUAGAUUCUUUACCCUAGAGCAAAAAAAAGCCAAAGUGUUAGAGUUCGUCAAUCUCGUAGCAUGAGUGUAAAAGAGUACUUCCUCAAGUUCACCAGUUAGCCAGGUAUGCUCCCCAUGUAGUAGCAGAUAGCAGAUCCAUAAUAAGUAAGUUUGUGUUUGGCAUAUUAGGUAGAGUGGUAAAGGAGUGCUGGACUAUGAGGUUAAUUAAGGAGAUAGACAUAUCUAAGCUCAUGGUCGAUGCUCAACAGAUUGAGGAGCAGAAACUUUAGAAGAAGGAGAGGGGAAAUAAGAGAGCCAAAACUAGUAGUUAUAGUUUUUCUUAGCCAGGGUCGCACGGUUGUAACCAUUCUCAGCAUAGACAGAAGUUUUUAGCCCCAGUUCCAUCUUCAGCUAGUGCACUAGCACCAAAGUUCAGAAAUGAUCGUAGGGAUGGGGCACCAGGCUCUAAGGCCCAAGGUAGUGAGAAUAGGGUUCUUACUCUUUCUCUUUGAGAGUAUGGUAAGUAUCAUAAUGGUAUAUGUAGAGCCAACAGUAAUGUGUAUUUUGGAUGUGGCGAGUCAGGUCACAAGGUCUGAGAUUGUCCUAGGCCUGGCCCUAGAAGUAAGCACGGUCGUCCUUCAACUCAGUCCGAUCGACCAAAUCAGCAGGGUGCCAAUUCCAGUGCUAUCAGUGGGCAACGCCCACACAGACUCUUUGCACUUCAGUCCCGAUAGAAUCAGGAAAUUCCUUCUGAUACAACCACCGGUAUGUUAUAGAUCUUUCAAUUAUAUGUUCAUGUUUCUUCAAAUUCAGGAGCUUCUUUUUCUUUUGUAACUCUUUACAUAGCAGUCAACUUUAAGGUCAGACCAAAUGUUAACAGGACCUUUUUCAAGUCCCCACCCUAGUGAGUCAGUCUAAUACAGCCCGACAGGUAUACAGGAACUGUCCGAUUAUGAAAUAUUUGAAAUUUAGGCCUUCAGGUUAAGAUAGUAAUGCUAGUACGUGUAGAAAACCAAUAAAGAAAGAUGAUUCCCAACCCAUUCCUACCUCAGUGUAAAGUUUCUUACUUUAGUUAUCACGAUACCUACGCAUGCUUUACGUUUCAGUCCCAUGAAUACAGCUUAUAUCCAUGCACUUUUCAAAGAAUAAUAUGUGUUUCAAGUUCCUCGUAUAAGGAGUCCAAGUUCAUCCAGUGUUGCAACUCAUGUUCCACAAAUUCAGAAAUUCCAAACCCAAUUCAUCCAACAUAUGACUCAUGCACUCAUGGCAUGCUUCACAGUACGCUCAGCCCACACGAUUCAUGACUUCACUCCUAGUGUUCAACCAAGCUCAGAUUAUGUCACGUAUACACUCAGCUUAGAGUCUUCGGUGAAAAAGUAGUGUUAAUAUUCCGUCCCGCAGGCCUCUGUUACAGCAUCAGUUCAGUAAUCAAUAUUCAGUAAAGGACUUAGAUAGUCCUAUAGAACCAUAGGUUUUAGCUAUCAGUUACUUAGCCAUCAAGCAUCAGUACUUCAGUACCAGUCUAAACCUCAGUUAUCAGAAAACAAUAUUCAGUCUCAAUUACCGUCCUAACUACAAUGUCAGUCCCAGUCCUAGCCCAGUCAGAUAAAAAACUCAGUCUAGAUUUUCAAGAUUUCCCGACCAUAGCAUAUGGCCAUCAUUUACUCAAAUAUUAGUAUUUUAGUACCUCAGUUUACAGAAUGUUCUGAAUCAUGUUAGACACCUGGUCUUACGUUCCGUUCCUAAGGUAAUACAGUUUUCACUCACUCAUUCUUAGCUACCUCAUGUUACCCAGUCAGUCAUUACCUUUUAUGCAUAACACUCUAAUAGUUUCAGUCCAGCUAUCCCAAAUCAAGAGCAGUUCAAUUUUAUAUGUCCAGUAUUCAGCUAUCAGUCAUUCAGCUAAUCAGAUAAAUUAGUAUAUCUAUGCAUUCGUGCUCAACGCCAAUGUAAAUCUCUUAGUAGUCUCAGUUGCAGCGCAUAAGGUUUAGUCACCUUAUCUUAGACAAUGUUUCAUAGGUCUUGCCUCCUAAUACAAAAAUCCCAGCCAUGUAGCAAUCUCCUAUUCAGAUGUCCUGCUCAGGUCAAACCAAGAUUCAUUUUCUCCCUACCAUCACUAGAACUCUAUAGAGAGAAUGUUAUAGAAAUGCUCCUGUCGAGUAUAAGUUUUCAGUAUGAGUUAGUCCAUAAAGCCAGUAAUUUAAUUUAGCAAUCAGAAAACAAAUCCGUAUGGUGUAGUUUCCUAUUUUUCCACCUAGUCCUACCAUCAAAAAUCUCAGGGAUGUACCUAUUCCAAGAUAGAAAGUCCCAGUAGCUUCAAGAUAAGCUUAGUUCAUAUAUCAUGUCUUAGCUUCAGAUCCCGGAUAUUCAGCCGUGAUUCAGUUCGUAGAUGCCAUGUGCAUUAUCCCAGUUUUCCUUAGUAUCUCAGUCAAGUCAGUAUACUUCUAGGGACAUAAUGUCCCAAGAGGGAGAUACAUAAUAAUUACCCGAACUCUCAUUACAUAAUACAUGCCAUUAUCUCUUCUCAUAAUGAAUCCAGUUUGGAUUAAGGGGGUACUUAUAAGUUGACCCUCAAACUCCGACCUCAGCCGUAAUUCACAUAUUCAAGGUACUAGUUCAUAUCACGAUAUUCAGUUCAUGUAUCACGUUCCAGACUCAGUUACGUUCACGUGUUUCCGCUUAUGCGUAUCUAGUAAUUAAUUUUAGGCUCAUUAGUAGUUUCAAUUUAAGGAAAUAGUCUCCCUUGAACUUAUCCAAUUUUAUGCUCAGAUUUCCAUGAUAAACUUGGUAUCAAUUAUCAUUGCAUAUUCAGUCAUGCAUUCAUGUGUCAGACCAAUCAUGUAUUUAUGCAUCAGAUAUGCAUGUUCAAUAUAAUAUAUUCAGCUUAUCAGUCAUGCCAGUCAUGAAAUCAUAAAACAGAUAUGCAUGCUCAGAACAAAUCUCACCAAAUCAGUGAUGUCAAUCAUGUACUCAUGUUUCAGUUGUUUAUGUUCAGUGUGUACUUCAGCUUAUCAUUUCCCCCAUCUCAGUCAGUCCCAUUCGAGGAUGAAUGUUCCCAAGGGGGAGAUAUUGUAAAAACCCACAAAAUCCUGAGCUUAAUUCAGUCUAUUUAUGCUUGUUAAGGGAGUCCCAUACUUGGAAGGUUCUAGCUAACUUUCCAGACAUAGUUUAUUUUAACCUUUGAAGGUUCACAGUAUCAUUUUGUGACCUUAAUGUCCUUUAAUGGUCCGUAUUCUUGCUAAUUAAUGAUCAGAGAGGUCCAUAGGUGGUCCCAGACAAGUUUCCAAUUUUUCAAACCACGUUUGGAAGCCCAAAAAAGUGGACCGACGCGAUCUUGGUGCGUCACAUCGCCAAUUGCGUUGGUUGAUAUUGUUGCAGGUUGCCAGGGUCAAAGUACUGAGACUCGAUGCGAUGAUGGUGUGAUGUAUCAACUAUCGCAUCGAUAAUUGCAUCGAUUCCCAGUUUCAGUCAUUAAAUGUCAAUAUUUGUAAGGACAAAUGGGUCAAUUUCUCACCUCUAUAUAAGUCUAAAACAUGGGAUUUAGCCUCAAUUUAACCAAAAUAUAGUGUUUCUCUCAAGUUUCUCUCAAGCACAAGUUAGGGUUUUCAAUUGGGGAUUCAAAUUCAAGACUCAAAUUCAAGAAUCUCUCCGUCAAUCUUCGUAAAAUCAAUAACUAAGGUAUGUCAAGUGUUGAUUUAUGGAUUCCUUUCAUCCAUGAAGUCUAAGAACCCUCUUUCAAAUUAUAAAACAUGAUAUUUAUGUUGUAGGUUAUUUGUAAUCAUGUUUAUCUUGUUGUAUGAUUCCCAAGUUGGAAUCUUUAUGUGUUUUCAUGAAACUACGUUAGCAUGCAAGUUGAAAUCGAUAAAUUGAGUUGUUUAUGAUUUGUAAUUUAAUGAUUUUACCUAUGCCCUAAUUUGUGCAUGUAAGGUGUUUGACAAAAUGCUUAAGAGGAUAGAAAUUGUUUAUUAUAGCUCAAUUGUGACCCAAAUAAUAAAUGCAUGUUUUUCCCUUAUGACCAAGACUGACUUCCAUAAUAUUGUGUGCAUUAUGAGUAUUUGAUGGAAUGUUCAUGAGAUUAGGUUGAUGAAAGUAUGACGUCUUAUGCAAUUCCAUCCAUGUACAACAUUUUGAUAAUAAUGUGCUUCAUGAAAUCCCCAACUUAUUGUAUUAUGAAUUGUUGAUAUUGGUCAUGUGUUCAAGAAGUGUCAAGUCUUGUCAGUUUGAUGUUGUCGAGUCCUGGGUGUACGUGUACCCGAUAAUUUAGCUGUGUGUCUAGAGCCAGUGUCAGUUUUCACGAUACUCUCAUUCAAGCCAUGAUCAUUAAAAUUCAGUCAGCUACAUGACUCAGGAAAACUCAGUAAUCUCAAUAAUCUCAGUCAAUUAUCAGGUCUCAGUAGUAUUCUGUCAGUCAACGGAAUUUAGUGAACUCUGUUCAAAUCAGAUAAACGAUACUAUCAGUAACAGUUCUAUUCAGUUUAAAUCAUUUCAGUGUCUCUUCAGUUGAGAGUAGGAUUCAGCACCGAGUGAACCAAAGAUGGGGACUCAACUGUUAGCCAAUAGAGGGUGUGAUCCUUAUAAGCAAUCCUUACGUUCCAGAACUACGUAUCCAGCGUAGGUUGAGAUGUACCCUGCGAGUUUAGGGAUUAUAUACCUCAUUUGAUUUUUCUGCUAGGAGGGGUUGACGGAAGAGCUCUCUAUUAGAAAGGGUUUACUCACAGCUUGUCUUUACCCUGGCACAGUACUGACACCUUUCCAGUUGGGGUUACAACUUGGACCCCACCAGUUCAGUUUCGGGGAAUGUCGGUUAGAUGAUUACCUCUCACAGUCUCAAUUUCAGAUCCAAUCUAAGUAAUAGAACUCAGUUCAGUUCUACAGAUUUCAAGACUAUCAAAUACAGUCGCUCAGCUCAGUACGAAACUCAGCUAGUUCCAUCAGAACCAGGACUGUUAGACACAGUCACUCAGUUAAUAGUAUAUUAAUUAUACAAAAUUCAUGUUAUAAGUAUUUAGUUUCAAAACUGUCAGAUACAGUCAAUUAGACCAGUUCUUCAUAAUUAGAAUUGUCGAAAACAGUCAUUCCUUUAUUUGUAAUAUGACAUCAGUCCUUUAGUUCUCUAUAGACUCAGUUAUUCAGUAUCCCUGUAUUAGCACUCAGAUAUCAAUAAAUCUAUGUUAUAUUUGUAAUAUGACAUCAGUCCCUUAGUUCUCUAUAGAUUCAGUUAUUCAGUAACCCUGUAUUAGCACUCAGAUAUCAAUAAAUCCAUGUUAUCAAAAUUCAUGAGUCAGUGUUAUAACGAUCUCAGUUAUAGUUACGUAUUCAUGCAUGUAUUCUCACGUUCAUGUUAUUCAGUCAGUUAGUAUUGUUCCUGCAUAUGAACCCCCUGUAUUCAGCUUACCUCACUUUCAUACUAGUACAUUCAAUCGUUUUGACGUAUUUGCGCUAUGGUGUUUUAUACCAUAGGUUUAGAAGCACGAGAUCUUGAGCAUCCUUAGUGGAUCGAACGUUCAGUAGCCAGACUAAAAGUGAGUCCUCAUUAUUCGAGGAUAGCAUGAUUAUUUUAUUACUUUAUUAUUUUACUAGUUCGAAGUUAGUUGGGGACAUGUCCAAUCAACUCCACGAUUUUCAGAAAGUUUAGAGGCUUUCAGACUACAGCAUGUUUCAGAGAGUUUAUUUCAAUUUUAGGGUAUUGUUAUACCCUAUUACAGACAUUGUUUUAUAUUCAAUAUUAGUUCAGUUUUGAACCUUAUAGCCUUACAACUUAUAUUCCCCAUAUUUACAGUAUAUUAUUCAGUGCUCAGUUACAGAUAUCAGUCAUGAGUUAGCUUGUGAUUCUUCAGGGUUAUGAGCACCGUAUAGUAUUCAGGGUACUAAAUUCGGGGUGUUACAUAUGUGAUAUCUGUUGGUAAUCAAGUGAUUCCCCCAUAACUGUGCUCUACUAUUAUAGAUUAUUCUUACUAUAUUAUCAAUCUGAGAAACCAUGCAAUUAUCCAAAUCGAUCAAACACCACCCAAUAUCGUCAACCUCUUACUUGGCUCGCUUUAAUUCUUCUCUCAAUCGGUAUAUGAUUGAGGCAUCCAUAGAUGAAAGCAAAUAAAGCAAGCCUUCCCCCUACCCCUAAGGAUAAUGGAUUGAAUUAAAUAACAUAUAUUUCUUCAACACAUAAAUAUGAUUCGUCACUAAUUGGCUUGUGGCCAAUAGACGCAGGGCAGAUUUUCUAAUGGGCCAGGUAUUGGGUUGUUCUAGGUUAUGCCUAAAAAGAAAGUUUGGUCUUCACUCUAUCCUAAGUGUCUAGAGUGGGUUUGAACCAGAUUCCCAAGCGAACGACUUGAGUUUGAAAAUAUGAACAGUCAUCAGUCGCCUCACGUGCGGAUAAACCAUCGUAUUUCUAACACUUUAUUUGAAAUUGAACAAUAGGAGGCGGGACAUCCUCAAAACCCCAAACAAUUUAUAUAUUUCAAAUGGAAAUCAUGCCAUGAAAUUCAACAGUUUAAUUUCCCUAAAUUUAAACAUAUAAGCACAUAAACAGUUUAAACAUUACAAUAGUUAGUCAACGAAGCUAAUUCAAAUAUUUGGUUAGAACCUAAUUAAAGUCCCAACAGAGUCAUCAUUUCUAUUUUCCUUUUUUUGGUUUCGAAAAGUUUGGAAAAUAUUAUUUUCAAUCUUUUAAACUAUUCCAAAACUUUUAAAAAAAAUUGAAACAAUUUAAGAAAUUACAGAGUCACCACUUGAUUUUUAAAAAAAUAUCAAGAAAAACAAAAAUAUUACUUAAAAGAUUCAAAAAAAAAAAAAUUUAAGUUUAGAAAUUCCGAGUAAGUGGCUCCAACUAAUAUUCUUGGAAAGUUGUUAAGGCACCAAAACUAACUAUCCGCUAACUUGCGAUUAUCUGGAUUAUUUGAAAAAAUAACUUUGACUAACUUUAAAAGGAAAAAUUAAUUUUUAAAAAGAAAUUGAUUAAGAAAAAAAUAUCUUCAAGAUUUAUGAAAAAAUAAAUUUUGACGACUUAGCGAAGAUCUUUAACUAAGUCUAAGAAAAUUAAAAAUAAUUAGAAUAUAAAGGGAAAUAGGGAAAGCUGAAAGACUUAGGCUAUUUGGCCCAAAUCCAAAAAUCAUGUCCUAUGCUAAUUUGGGCUUUUGACCCAUUCCUCUAUCCUAAUCUAAAUAUUUGGGCUUUCGGCCCAUAACUGUCCUAAACUAUCUUUUUGGACCUUUGAUGUCUAAAAUCUACUUCACCUGCAUUAAAAUACAACUUUGGCUUCGAGGCACAAAUGAAUAAAUAAAUAGAUAAAUGAAUAAAUAAAUAAAUAAAUAAAGUUGAGAUUUUUUAAGUCUAUGAGCGAUCUCAUCAAAUAGGUUUUGACCCAUUUUCUUGCAUUUGUACGCCAUGUUUCAUCCUAUUGAACCAUCUUUCAAAGUCUUCUUAAAAAAUGGGCCUCAAUAGCCCAUUGCGUAAUGCAAGGAAAAAGAGUCCAUUUGCCCCCAAGCGGGUUCAUGCAAAGAAAAGUGUGAAGGAAUUAAUAACAACAACAACAACAAACCCAGUAUAUUCCCACAUAGUGGGAAGGAAUUAAUAUGUGUUCAAAAUUAGCAAUUAGCAUUUUAAAGGAUAUUCAGACACAAAUGCAGAAGAAACAAUGAUUCACAAAACUGAAGAAAACAUAUAAUCAAAGAAAUCCAAGUAAAUAGAGGGAACGAGAUAAAAUAAGAAAUUCUCACGACUUCCAACAAGCGAAGUUAAACAAUUAUAUUUUAAGACUAUAGAAAAUAUUUGAUAAAGUGAAAAUAUAAAGGGGGCAAUUUAAAAAAAAAUCAAUGACUAGGCAAAGAAAAGGACAAGUAAUUGCUAAGAACACAUGUAAACCAGAGAAUAAAUAGACUUAUAACAAAGAAAAUCCAACAUUAUAAGAGUUACUAUCGUAUGUAGAUUCAACAAGAUGUGACUUUCAUACAUUGACAAAGAAAGGAAAUAUGAUUGAGCAAACAAUCUAUCAAUCAAACAUUAGGAGCAACAUUAGGAGCCAAGGGAGAAUUUAAAAGUAGUUUCCAUUAAUUCAAAAGACAAACCGACUCAAGACAAGUUCGAAUUCAAGGGAAAAACUUAUAAAUCACAAUUAUCAGACUGAGAUCACGGAGGGGGUUAAAUUGAAUAGAAAUAAAACUUUGAACAAAAUAAUGAAUCCAAACCACAACAAGUGAAUCGGGAAAUUGAGAAAAAGAAAACCGAAAUUAGUAUCUAUUAAGUGAAAACAAGGAAGUAAUAAAACAUCCGGAGCAUUUAGGUAACUCGGGAAGAGAGAAAGAAAAGAAAAAUGGAUUUUACAAAGGAUAGCAAAAUGGAUUUUACAUCACCUAUGCAAGAAGAAUAUCAAUAUAUUAGCAUCAAAACAUGGACAUCCAGAAAACAUUAACACAUGAAUUGUAAUUUUUAACAAAAUAAAGAACUUAUAUGACAUAUCCUUCGUCCUUUCUUAACGUUUUUGUCAGUAAGUACUUUCAAAAAUGUUUCUGCUCAACCAUGAAAAUCCAAGGACAAGCAUGCAAACCACCAGAAUGCAAAUCGUGAGACUAAUACAUUGAUUUUAUAGCUUAACCACAAAACCAUGAAUUGAAGGUAAACUAUACAUUGGACUUUCGUUAAGCAAAAUCAAUACCGAAACAGUGGUCUAAAUUUCGCCAUAACAGUGAACCAAACCAUCAACAAAAGAAAGUAGGAUGUUUGAAAUAUAUGCUAACAAGAAAAUCAAUAGCUGACUAACAAUAUUAAUACGAAAGAGAGAAGUCAAAACAACCGAAAAGAACUACAGAAUCAAUAAUGGGGCAAAUUGAAAAUAUUGUUCCAGCAAAAUAACAUAACCACAACCAUUACAAGAAAAUCCUAUAGCCAUUGAAGCCAUCUACAACGGACAGUUCCAGCAACUACGAUUACAACCACCAUUACAACUACGAACAACAUGAUUAUAAAGCUAACACACUAACAAAUCGACUAGAAAAAGAAGAAAAUGUUGAAACUAAAAAAGAGGAAGUGUUACCUAUUUCAAAGAAGCAAAUCGAGACUCAAGCCUUCGAUGGAAUAUCGACCACCACCGGAAAACUUCAUUGCAACUCCAAGAACUUCGAGUAGUCGAGGACUUUCCAUGAAAAUAAUUUUUUUUCAAGAAAAAUGAGACCUUUUUGCUCGAAAGUUUUUUUUCAACCUUCAAGACUUGUUCUUUUCUGCUCAACAAGGAGCCUUUAUAUAGAAGGGAUUAGGUAGAUGACUUCCCACUUCUAUCGAUGUGGGAGAAGUAAAAUCGAAGGUUAUUUUUGGGAUUUUGAAAGAGGAAAUUCAAAUUUGGGAUUAAGGAUAAGGCUGAGCUGUAGAAAAUAGUAUGAAUUUGUACAAGAUUUGAGAGAUAGAAAAUGGAAAAAAAAUUGGAAAAUACCACGCCGCGGGUUCUAGAACUCUUGUCGAAGCCGAUGCAUGGGUUGAAGUCGGGUCAGUUUUACGUUUGGCAGGUUGUACGUAAAAUCGCGAAUAGUUGUUGUCGCACGUUGAAGAUGAUGAAAUUAUUGUUAACAUUGUUGUUUUUAGAGUCGGGUAAGGAGAAGGGGAAAAGGAUCGGUCGCGGGUCGUCCGGUUAGCCUUGUUGAAGCUGUUGUUGAAUUGUUGUUGACAUCAUUGUUUUUGUUAUUGCUAGGGAAGGGGAAUUAUGAGGAUAUUGGGC